UUUUACAAAAGAUAAAAUAUGAAACGUGUUUACGUAGGGCAAGUUGCAGCAAAGGUAUUAUGUUGGCUAUAUUGAGUGCAAUGAAAACAACAUAAAUAAAGAUUAGAGGUGUAAAAGUAACGAAAAAAAGGGUACCCGUAUGUAUUCGUUACUAUAACAAUCAGUACUCGUUACUUCUGAUACCGCAUAACAUGCAACGAAUCGAGUCGUAUUGCGUAUGCGUACAUUAUGACGUCGCGUAAAUAAUAAUAAUUAGAAUACAUACAAUUAACAAUAUUUGAUAAUUAACAGUUUUUGUUAACCAAGAAACAAUUAAAUCUCAUUAGAGCGGCCUUAUAUUAUCUCUUUUAAGAUAAUAAAAAAACGUGAAAAUUCGCGAUAAUAAAAAACAAAAACAUACAUAUUUCCAAUUUGUAAAAAAUACUUUCUUACGUUGUUUCUGUUCCAAUCUCAAACGUUGUCUACACACACAAUACCUUUAAUAAACAGUAAAAAAACUUGGACGACGAAUUUCCAAAUUAUACUUUACUUAAUAAACAAACAUCGUUCUUUGUAACAUAAAUUCAUCGAAUAUGCGCGCGCAUGCGUGAAACAUACGAAACAUGCGAGUAACGAAAUAUGCGAGUAACGAAAUGCAGCCGUGUGUAACGUUUCGUUACUCGUAUAUAGACGGCGCACCCGUUACUCAGUAACGAAUACAUACGGUUUGCUACAGCUCUAAUAAAGAUGUGUGGUUUUAUAAACUCUGCAUAAACCGCGGUGUCCCAUCAAUGUGAGUCCAGUUCCCAAGGAGUACGAGCCAGCUUCUGGAGCUGAAUGCAACAGUUUUGCAGUGCCACAUCUGAGGACCAUUUACGGUUGAGUGCUGUAAUCGGGUAGUGUCUUAAGUGAAAUGACCAUAGACUACGUCAUGAAACAAGACACACGUAUGUUUUAAAAUUAAGGACUUCUAUUGCUGGUAGCUGUAUGUAAUGUUAUUGAAUGUGUUUCUUGUACCACGUUUGCUUGAAUUCCAAUUGGUUACAAUUAUACAUAUUUUUACCACA